rnacentral:rRNA from 1 species
GGAUCCAGACUUUGAUUAUGGCUCAGGAUAAACGCUGGCGGCGCACAUAAGACAUGCAAGUCGAACGGACUUAACCAUUAGUUUACUAUUGGAGCGGUUAGUGGCGGACUGGUGAGUAACACGUAAGCAACCUGCCUAUCAGAGGGGAACAACAGUUAGAAAUGACUGCUAAUACCGCAUAUACCCAAGUGUCACAUGGCACAAUGGGGAAAGGAGCAAUCCGCUGAUAGAUGGGCUUGCGUCUGAUUAGCUAGUUGGUGGGGUAACGGCCUACCAAGGCGACGAUCAGUAGCCGGACUGAGAGGUUGAGCGGCCACAUUGGGACUGAGAUACGGCCCAGACUCCUACGGGAGGCAGCAGUCGGGAAUAUUGCGCAAUGGAGGAAACUCUGACGCAGUGACGCCGCGUGCAGGAAGAAGGUUUUCGGAUUGUAAACUGCUUUAGACAGGGAAGAAACAAGACAGUACCUGUAGAAUAAGCUCCGGCUAACUACGUGCCAGCAGCCGCGGUAAUACGUAG